rnacentral:lncRNA from 1 species
UUACAAAUACGCUCCUUACGUAGCCGAAUUUUCUGACCUGAUCCUCCACGGCUGCGCAGUGGAUCCCAUUGAAUUUUCGUCGAAGAAGUGUGACACCACCUCUCAAAGUUUGGAACUUUCUGCCACUAUCACCCCAUCACAAAGAAGCAAAAUGGAUAGCUUUAGGAGGAAGCACAUGACAUAUUCUUACUGCUAUGACCAGACCAGAUACAAAGUUCCACCUGUAGAGUGUGUGAUCAAUCCCCGUGAAGCCGAAAGACUGAAAAGGUUUGAUCCAGUCACGUUUGGAGGCAGGCGUCACCAUGGGAAGCGACACCACCGCAGCAGAGCAAGCCGGUCCGAAGCUGAUACCAUCUAAAAAAUACUAGGCCAUUGGUAGAUUUGAUUUCAUUACUUGUUGGGGCAUUAUUUUCCUCUCGGUUUGAUUUAUAAAAUAGUUGGGGGUCAGUUUUGUGUAUAGAGAGAG